AUUGUACUCCCUCCGUCCGGAAAUACUUGUCAUCAAAAUGGAUGAAAAUGGAUGUAUCUAGAACUAAAAUACAUCUAGAUACAUCCAUUUCAAUGACAAGUAUUUUCGGACGGAGGGAGUACCCA
rnacentral:pre_miRNA from 1 species